rnacentral:rRNA from 1 species
CGCCUUGCCAGCCCGCUCAGAAACUCAAAGGAAUUGACGGGGGCCCGCACAAGCGGAGGAGCAUGUGGUUUAAUUCGAUGAUACGCGAGGAACCUUACCUGGGCUCGAACGUAAGAUGACUGUAGGUGAAAGCUUACAUCUCUUCGGAGCAUUUUACGAGGUGCUGCAUGGUUGUCGUCAGCUCGUGCCGUGAGGUGUCGGGUUAAGUCCCAUAACGAGCGCAACCCCUACCUUUAGUUGCCAUCAGGUUAAGCUGGGGACUCUAAAGGAACUGCCUACGCAAGUAGUGAGGAAGGCGGGGAUGACGUCAAAUCAGCACGGCCCUUACGUCCAGGGCUACACACGUGCUACAAUGGCCGAUACAGAGGGCAGCUACCUGGUGACAGGAUGCAAAUCUCCAAAGUCGGUCUCAGUUCGGAUCGGAGUCUGCAACCCGACUCCGUGAAGUUGGAUUCGCUAGUAAUCGCGAAUCAGAAUGUCACGGUGAAUACGUUCCCGGGCCUU